rnacentral:rRNA from 1 species
UCAGGCCUAACACAUGCAAGUCGAGGGGCAGCACGAUUGAUAGCAAUAUUAAUUGGUGGCGACCGGCGCACGGGUGCGUAACACGUAUGCAAUCUAUCUUAUACAGGGGCAUAACUUCGAGAAAUCGGUGCUAAUUCCCCAUAACACUAUGACUGGGCAUCCAGAUAUAGUUAAAGUUUCGGCGGUAUAAGAUGAGCAUGCGUCCAAUUAGCUAGUAGGUGAGGUAAUGGCUCACCUAGGCUACGAUUGGUAGGGGUUCUGAGAGGAUGAUCCCCCACACUGGUACUGAGACACGGACCAGACUCCUACGGGAGGCAGCAGUGAGGAAUAUUGCGCAAUGGACGAAAGUCUGACGCAGCCAUGCCGCGUGAAGGAUUGAAGGUCCUAUGGAUUGUAAAGUUCUUUUGUACGGGAAUAAACGCUACCUCGUGAGGUA